UGCCAGCAGCCGCGGUAAUACGGAGGGUGCAAGCGUUGUUCGGAAUUAUUGGGCGUAAAGGGCGCGUAGGCGGGCUUUUAAGUCUGGUGUGAAAUCCCUCGGCUUAACCGAGGACGUGCAUUGGAAACUGAAAGUCUUGAGUCCUGGAGAGGAAAGCGGAAUUCCCAGUGUAGAGGUGAAAUUCGUAGAUAUUGGGAGGAACACCAGUGGCGAAGGCGGCUUUCUGGACAGUGACUGACGCUGAGGCGCGAAAGCGUGGGUAGCAAACAGGAUUAGAUA
rnacentral:rRNA from 1 species